GUGGGGAAGGGUGGUGUGAAUUGGAAGAAGAGAGAGAAAGGUUGGGGUGUUUGUGGAGUCCCAGCAGCAGAGUGAGGGCCUCUGCUUCGCUCAUUAGACAUAACCUCAAAUGUGUCUGCACCAGGCACUAUUGUUCCCAAUUUUACCAACACAGGCACGUAGCAAGGGCAGGAUUCAACUCUACUUGUGCUCACCACAGACACUGCCUGCUCUAGUAUUUAUCAUGCACUUAAAAAGAUAGAAUAAAAACGUUGGGCAGUGGAUCUGCCCCUGGAAUUCAGAGCCCUGAAUUGGCAAGAUCAUGCUGCAGUGACCAAUGGCCCAGUGCAGUGACCAAUGAUAUAAAAGUCUUACCUUGCACUCCAGCUUCAUGUCCCCUGUGGGGGCUUCACUCAGGGCUCCAGACUGAUGGGUCAGUCCCAACCUGGAAUGGUGCAUCACUUGGAGUGAACGGAAAAGAGCAUAUGGCGGGUUCUGAGCUGGCUCUUCAAGCUUGGUAAAAGCACACAGGGUUCUGUUCACGUUUCUCUGGCAAAAUCUAGUUGUACAGCCAAAGCGGCUGCCCACAGGACAGGGGAGUAAAUCUUCCCCCAAGGAGGGUCAGGCUUGCUUUUGGAUAUCAAUAUGGUCAACUGUGGACAGCAGAACACACCACUGGGGCUUCACCCUUCCCUAGACAAUAUGGCCUUCGUUGUGGUGGGUGUGUGGCUGGUGCAACAGACUCCCAGCCAUCUGCCAUGGAGAAGCACUGCUAUCCUGGGCUUGGUCUUUGGUCUUGCUUCCUCCUUGGUAAAAUCGGGGCGAUGAUAUCUCCUGCUCAUAGUUAUGGAGGAUCAAAGGAGAUGGUAGCUGGAGAUUGCACAUAUUUAGCAGUUAAUAAGUAUUACUUUGCUUCCCCAGCUCCUGAAUACAUUAUAUUUUCUUAGAACGUGUACUAAGUUUGCAUAUAACAAUUUUUAAAAUGAUAUAAAAAUGAAACUGAACUGCAUUAAACAUUUUUAUAUUGUUUUAAAAAAUAGCCACAGGUGAAAACAAGUGUUUGUUUAUUUUUUUAUUUUUACUUUUAUUGAAGUGCAUUGACAAAUGAAAAUCAUGUUUAAGGAGUACAGUACAACUUGAUAUCUUGAUAUACACACAAGUUGGGAAAUAAUCACAGACUAACAUUCUUUACCUCAUACACCAUUUUCUCCUCCUUUCUUUCUUCCCUCCCUUCCUUCCUUCCUUUCCCACAUGAGUGACAUCAUAUACUAUUUGUUUUCCUGUGCUUGGCUCGUUUCCCUUGAAUUAAUGUCCUCCAGUCUCAUCUAUGCUAUGGCAUUGCUAAUGGCAGAAUUUCUUUAUUUUUUAAGUCUUAAUAAUAUCCCAGUCCUUAUGUUUCUUAUGCUUCAUCUUUCCUUCCUUUUCUACUCAUUUGAAAUACUGUCAGCUAGACCAAGUUUUUUGUUUUUGCUUUUUGGUACUUGGGAGUGAGCCCAGGGGGCCCUUACCACUGAGCUACAUCCUCAGCCCUUUUAUUUUUUAUUUUGAGACAGGGUCCCACCAAGUUGCUGAGGCUGGCCUCCAAAUUGUGAUCUUCCUGAGUCACUGAGUGCAUUGAAGGUUCUCCGACCAAGGGGCGGAGUCUGUUUCUCCUUCCUGGACUGGGCUUCAGGUUUGCUUCGAUAACUAGAAUGCAGCAGGACGAGCACCUGUGCCAGCCCAAGUUGGUGUCUCAAGAGCUUUUGCACCCUUCCACGUGCUCUCCCAACUUCUCCAGAAUCAUUAGCGUUGAACCAGCGGUGAACCAUUCCCACGCAAGCUGUCCUGAAUCACCAGACCCCUGCCCGCCUGGCAGGUAUCCACUGACCUGUGAGCGAGUUCAGCUGAGAUGAGAACCAUCCACUUGAGCCCAGCCCCAACUGAUGAUGUUUAGGAUCAUGAGCUAAAUAAAUGUUCUCAUUUUAAAAUGUCA